GAGUCGGGCUGCGCCGGCCGCCUGCGCGCGCGGCCCGCCCACCGGGUCACAUGGCUCGGAGCCGAGCAGAGGAUCAAAGGGGCUUUGUGGCCGAGGAACAAGGAGCCUCCCAGAGCGCGGGCAGAGGGCCCCCAGAGCACAGAAGAGGGUAUUCUUGUGCCCACCAAGCCCCCCAGUCCAGGGACUUCUCCAACACAGAACAUCUGCCACCCAGCACUGCUCACAGUCCACCGCCACUCAGGACACACUCGGCAUCCAGGGAGAGCGGCCUGACACCUGGGUAGCUGCCCGUCCAAUCCUCCAGUGGAAACCGAAGGCCGGCCGCAGACAGCCCAGCCACAGAUGUGAUUUUAACAUUUCUAGUAGCCACAGUAAAAAAUAUAAGAAGAAACAGG